UGGGGAAUAUUGCACAAUGGGCGAAAGCCUGAUGCAGCAACGCCGCGUGAGUGAUGAAGGUCUUCGGAUUGUAAAGCUCUGUCUUUUGGGACGAUAAUGACGGUACCAAAGGAGGAAGCCACGGCUAACUACGUGCCAGCAGCCGCGGUAAUACGUAGGUGGCGAGCGUUGUCCGGAUUUACUGGGCGUAAAGGGUGCGUAGGCGGAUGUUUAAGUGAGAUGUGAAAUACCCGGGCUUAACUUGGGUGCUGCAUUUCAAACUGGAUAUCUAGAGUGCAGGAGAGGAGAAUGGAAUUCCUAGUGUAGCGGUGAAAUGCGUAGAGAUUAGGAAGAACACCAGUGGCGAAGGCGAUUCUCCGGACUGUAACUGACGCUGAGGCACGAAAGCGUGGGUAGCAAACAGGAUUAGAUACCCUGGUAGUCCACGCCGUAAACGAUGAGUACUAGGUGUAGGAGGUAUCGACCCCUUCUGUGCCGCAGUAAACACAUUAAGUACUCCGCCUGGGAAGUACGAUCGCAAGAUUAAAACUCUAAAGUGAAUUGACGGGGUC
rnacentral:rRNA from 1 species